rnacentral:tRNA from 1 species
GAGGGUACAGCUCAGUGGUGCAGCAAGUGCUUAACAUGCACGAGGUCCUGGGUUCAAGCCCCAGUACCUCA